CUACCUUUAAAACAGGUAUACGUAGGCCUGCAGAGAGUGCCUUCUCACCCAUAAUCUGUGGGAGUGCACCUGGCAGCCUGGGUCUUUUAUAGAAAAGCAAUGGUGGAAACUCUGCUGGACAUCAAAGCCUGUAUUUUCUUGAGCUGACAGCAAUACUAAGUAAUGGCACAUCAGUGUCACCAGCACAGCUUUCCCAGGCGCUCUUUUAAUACCAUCCAAGAGACAGGAAAGUUUACACUGUAAGGAGAUGUUUGACUAAUCCAAGCAGCCAGUCCAGCACUGCACUAUCACUAUCACCAUUACCUAUAUGAGGCCCCACCACAACUUUCAGUUCUCCACACUCCUGCACCACCCUCAUCUUCCCACACAGCAGCAGAAAGGACCGUUCAGCUGGCCAGUUUGCUGGUGUCAGAGGCCACGUUGCACAGGAAACAGAAGGGUAUGAGACCUGCAGACCCUCUGCACCCCUGGCAUCAGUGAGAAGCCCUGUACAGCAAUUUCAUCUUAAAUACUGGCAGAAGAUAAUUUUUUUGCAAUGUGCAACCACCACCAUGACAGAAAAUGUUGACCAGCUGCUUGCAGUGCACCAGCUCCUCAGGAAAGACAAGUUAGAUGGCUACUACUGUGCAGGUUUCUCCACUGCAAGUAUGUUUUAAGACUGCAGGUAGACAACAGAAGGGCAUUCAAGCUGCAGUCUUGCAUGGUGCACAAGCAACAACCAUGAAAUGGCUCACUCUUGCAGUUUAAGUUUGAUCUACAAGACUCAUUCUUCCAGCAAAGAUGCUCGG